AGCCUGAUGCAGCAACGCCGCGUGAGGGAUGACGGCCUUCGGGUUGUAAACCUCUUUUAGUAGGGAAGAAGCGAAAGUGACGGUACCUGCAGAAAAAGCACCGGCUAACUACGUGCCAGCAGCCGCGGUAAUACGUAGGGUGCAAGCGUUGUCCGGAAUUAUUGGGCGUAAAGAGCUCGUAGGCGGUUUGUCGCGUCUGCUGUGAAAUCCCGAGGCUCAACCUCGGGCUUGCAGUGGGUACGGGCAGACUAGAGUGCGGUAGGGGAGAUUGGAAUUCCUGGUGUAGCGGUGGAAUGCGCAGAUAUCAGGAGGAACACCGAUGGCGAAGGCAGAUCUCUGGGCCGUAACUGACGCUGAGGAGCGAAAGCAUGGGGAGCGAACAGGAUUAGAUACCCUGGUAGUCCAUGCCGUAAACGUUGGGCGCUAGAUGUAGGGACCUUUCCACGGUUUCUGUGUCGUAGCUAACGCAUUAAGCGCCCCGCCUGGGGAGUACGGCCGCAAGGCUAAAACUCAAAGGAAUUGACGGGGGCCCGCACAAGCGGCGGAGCAUGCGGAUUAAUUCGAUGCAACGCGAAGAACCUUACCAAGGCUUGACAUACACCGGAAACGGCCAGAGAUGGUCGCCCCCUUGUGGUC
rnacentral:rRNA from 1 species